rnacentral:rRNA from 1 species
GGGACCUGAUGCAGCCAUGCCGCGUGUGUGAAGAAGGCCUUCGGGUUGUAAAGCACUUUCAGUUGUGAGGAAAGGUUGGUAGUUAAUACCUGCCAGCUGUGACGUUAACAACAGAAGAAGCACCGGCUAACUCCGUGCCAGCAGCCGCGANAAU